rnacentral:lncRNA from 1 species
ACAAAGCUGAAUCUUCACAAAAGCCUUACUUGAUCUUCACUUUAGGCUUCCCUUUGUGUAGUUUUAGCCCAUAGGUUUGAUUAGGCUCCCUAAGCCUAUGAUUGCAAGUGUUGCAUCAAAUCUGUCCCAUAUGAGUUGAAGCACGCCCCAAAUAUAUAUGGAUCAUAUGAACAUGAUUUUGAACUCCUUUUAGAUCCAUUUGAAUGACAUAAGUUUGCUCCACAC